rnacentral:rRNA from 1 species
CAAUAGCGUAUAUUAAAGUUGUUGCGGUUAAAAAGCUCGUAGUUGGAUCUCGGCAGGCAGGGGGUGGUUCGCUCUUAGCGCUACUGCCCCAUCUGCCUGUGUGAUUGGCGGAGGUUUCGGGGUGCUCUUCGUUGAGUGACCCGGGGCGCCGUCAGGUUUACUUUGAAAAAAUUAGAGUGCUCAAAGCAGGCUUUUCACGCUUGAAUAUUCGUGCAUGGAAUAAUGGAAUAGGAACUCGUUUCUAUUUUGUUGGUUUUCGGAAAUCGAGUUAAUGAUUAAUAGGGACAAUUGGGGGCAUUAGUAUUCAGACGACAGAGGUGAAAUUCUUGGACCGUCUGAAGACUAACUACUGCGAAAGCAUUUGCCAAGAGUGUUUUCAUUAA